rnacentral:rRNA from 1 species
AGAGUUUGAUCCUGGCUCAGGAUGAACGCUAGCGGCAGGCUUAAUACAUGCAAGUCGUGGGGCAGCAGGGGUAGCAAUACCCGCUGGCGACCGGCAAACGGGUGAGGAACAUGUACGCAACCUACCUUUAACUGGAGGAUAGCCCCUCGAAAGAGGGAUUAAUACUCCGUAACAUAAUGAAGUGGCAUCGCUUUAUUAUUAUAGCUCCGGCGGUUAAAGAUGGGCGUGCAGCUGAUUAGGCAGUUGGCGGGGUAACGGCCCACCAAACCUACGAUCAGUAACUGGUGUGAGAGCACGACCAGUCACACGGGCACUGAGACACGGGCCCGACUCCUACGGGAGGCAGCAGUAAGGAAUAUUGGUCAAUGGAGGCAACUCUGAACCAGCCAUGCCGCGUGAAGGAUUAAGGCCCUCUGGGUUGUAAACUUCUUUUAUAUGGGAAGAAAUGUUCUGAUUCUUCAGAGCUUGACGGUACCAUAGGAAUAAGCACCGGCUAACUCCGUGCCAGCAGCCGCGGUAAUACGGAGGGUGCAAGCGUUAUCCGGAUUCACUGGGUUUAAAGGGUGCGUAGGUGGGCAGAUAAGUCAGUGGUGAAAUCUUCCGGCUUAACCGGAAAAUUGCCGUUGAUACUAUUUGUCUUGAAUAUUGUGGAGGUAAGCGGAAUAUGUCAUGUAGCGGUGAAAUGCUUAGAUAUGACAUAGAACACCAAUUGCGAAGGCAGCUUACUAUAUAAUUAUUGACACUGAGGCACGAAAGCGUGGGUAGCGAACAGGAUUAGAUACCCUGGUAGUCCACGCCCUAAACGAUGAUUACUCGACAUACGCGAUACACUGUGUGUGUCUGAGCGAAAGCAUUAAGUAAUCCACCUGGGAAGUACGACCGCAAGGUU